UAAGAUUUUUCGAUUUACCACUCAUGUGUGCUAGAUUCGUCUCUAAUGAUAACGAUCUUCAACUUUUUUUUACAAAAACGAAAAAAGAAAAAAAGUAAGAUUUUGCGGUGAGGGUCAAACUUUAAAAGUUUAGGCUUUUUAUAAAGUCGAACAACUAUUACUAAAACCAAUACUUUAAGGUAUAGAUUCUUAGAAAUUUUAUAUUGUAUCAAUACAGUUAGAGACAAUGCAAUUUCAGGAUGAAUUUGCUUCAGCUGUUUUUAAGCUAAUCCAAAUAUAAAAACAAAACUGUUUAUAGGUUUCUUUCAUCGUACAGUAAAAACCCAAUGAAAGUAUACUCAAUAGGUAUGGUCUAAUGUCAAAAUUUCUAUGGAGUGUAGGAAAUAGCAAUUUCAUAUAAACAAACUCACCUUUCAAUGAUUUUAAUUGAGAGGUGAAUUUUUUAGAUAAAAUCGCUAUUUCCUCCGGAUUGUAUGGACAUUGGAAAGACUGACUCGAAGGAGUGACGAGAGCAAUUUCCUCAAUCUAUU